rnacentral:rRNA from 1 species
ACUCCUACGGGAGGCAGCAGUGAGGAAUAUUGGACAAUGGGUGAGAGCCUGAUCCAGCCAUCCCGCGUGAAGGACGACGGCCCUAUGGGUUGUAAACUUCUUUUGUACAGGGAUAAACCUUUCCACGUGUGGAAAGCUGAAGGUACUGUACGAAUAAGCACCGGCUAACUCCGUGCCAGCAGCCGCGGUAAUACGGAGGGUGCAAGCGUUAUCCGGAUUUAUUGGGUUUAAAGGGUCCGUAGGCGGAUCUGUAAGUCAGUGGUGAAAUCUCAUAGCUUAACUAUGAAACUGCCAUUGAUACUGCAGGUCUUGAGUAAGGUAGAAGUAGCUGGAAUAAGUAGUGUAGCGGUGAAAUGCAUAGAUAUUACUUAGAACACCAAUUGCGAAGGCAGGUUACUAUGUCUUAACUGACGCUGAUGGACGAAAGCGUGGGGAGCGAG